rnacentral:rRNA from 1 species
UACGUAGGGGGCAAGCGUUAUCCGGAUUUACUGGGUGUAAAGGGAGCGCAGACGGCAGUGCAAGUCUGGAGUGAAAGCCCGGGGCCCAACCCCGGAACUGCUCUGGAAACUGUGCGGCUAGAGUACUGGAGGGGCAGGCGGAAUUCCUAGUGUAGCGGUGAAAUGCGUAGAUAUUAGGAGGAACACCAGUGGCGAAGGCGGCCUGCUGGACAGUAACUGACGUUGAGGUUCGAAAGCGUGGGGAGCAAACAGG